rnacentral:rRNA from 1 species
GGUGAACGCUGGCGGCGUGCUUAAGACAUGCAAGUCGAACGGGCUCUUCGGAGCCAGUGGCGCACGGGUGAUUAACGCGUAACUGACCUACCCCAAAGUCGCGGAUAACGAUUCGAAAGAAUCGCUAAUUCGUGAUGUGCUGUCAGAUCCUGUUCUGCCAGUAAAGAUUUAUUGCUUUGGGAUGGGGUUGCGUUCCAUCAGCUAGUUGGUGGGGUAAAGGCCCACUAAGGCGACGACGGAUCGCCGGCCUGAGAGGGUGGCCGGCCACAGGGGCACUGAGACACGGGUCCCACUCCUACGGGAGGCAGCAGUUAGGAAUCUUCCACAAUGGGCGAAAGCCUGAUGGAGCGACGCCGCGUGAGGGAUGAAGGUCUUCGGAUCGUAAACCUCUGAAUCAGGGACGAAAGACGCGAAAGCGGGAUGACGGUACCUGAGUAAUAGCACCGGCUAACUCCGUG